rnacentral:tRNA from 1 species
GUCCUCGUAGCUCAGCUGGUAGAGCGUACGCUGUGCAACUACGUCGGCGGCGUCCAUGCGUGAGUUCGAUUCCCACCGAGGUUA